AAAGAAACCAACAGGGAUUGCCUCAGUAACGGCGAGUGAAGCGGCAACAGCUCAAAUUUGAAAUCUGGCCUUUGCGGGUCCGAGUUGUAAUUUGUAGAGGAUGUUUUGGGUACCGCCACGGUUUAAAUUUCUUGGAACAGAAUGUCAAAGAGGGUGAGAGUCCCGUCUUGGAUCGUGGUAGGGCCUGUGUAAAACUCCUUCGACGAGUCGACUUGUUUGGGAAUGCAGGUCAAAAUGGGUGGUAAAUUUCAUCUAAAGCUAAAUAUUGGCCAGAGACCGAUAGCGCACAAGUAGAGUGAUCGAAAGAUGAAAAGCACUUUGAAAAGAGAGUUAAACAGUAUGUGAAAUUGUUGAAAGGGAAGCGCUGGCAAUCAGACUCGUGCGCGGGGUUCCCCUGGGCUUCUGCCCAGGUUACUUCCCCGUGUCCGGGCCAUCAUCAGUUUCGGGGGUCGGUUAAAGGCCCUGGGAAUGUAUCCUCCCCUUCGGGGGUGGACUUAUAGCCCAGGGUGUCAUGCGGCCACCCGGGACUGAGGAACGCGCUUCGGCGAGGAUGAUGGCGUAAUGGUUGUCAGCGACCCGUCUUGAAACACGGACCAAGGAGUCUAACAUCUAUGCGAGUGUUCGGGUGUCAAACCCCUGCGCGGAAUGAAAGUGAACGGAGGUAGGAAGGCUUAAGCCUGCACUAUCGACCGAUCCUGAUGUCUUCGGAUGGAUUUGAGUAAGAGCAUAGCUGUUGGGACCCGAAAGAUGGUGAACUAUGCGUGAAUAGGGUGAAGCCAGAGGAAACUCUGGUGGAGGCUCGCAGCGGUUCUGACGUGCAAAUCGAUCGUCAAAUUUGCGUAUAGGGGCGAAAGA
rnacentral:rRNA from 1 species